rnacentral:rRNA from 1 species
CCGGCACGGGUGAGUAACACGUAUCCAACCUGCCGUCUACUCUUGGCCAGCCUUCUGGAAGGAAGAUUAAUCCAGGAUGGCAUCAUGAGUUCACAUGUCCGCAUGAUUAAAGGUAUUUUCCGGUAGACGAUGGGGAUGCGUUCCAUUAGAUAGUAGGCGGGGUAACGGCCCACCUAGUCAACGAUGGAUAGGGGUUCUGAGAGGAAGGUCCCCCACAUUGGAACUGAGACACGGUCCAA